UACGUAGGUGGCAAGCGUUGUCCGGAAUUAUUGGGCGUAAAGCGCGCGCAGGCGGCCUCUUAAGUCUGAUGUGAAAGCCCCCGGCUCAACCGGGGAGGGCCAUUGGAAACUGGGAGGCUUGAGUAUAGGAGAGAAGAGUGGAAUUCCACGUGUAGCGGUGAAAUGCGUAGAGAUGUGGAGGAACACCAGUGGCGAAGGCGACUCUUUGGCCCAUAACUGACGCUGAGGCGCGAAAGCGUGGGGGAGCAAACAGG
rnacentral:rRNA from 1 species